rnacentral:lncRNA from 1 species
GAGACAAAGCCACAAAACAGAGGCCGCGCAUCAGUCGAAAGUGCUCCCGGUGCCUGUGGUCCAUAGAGUGGAGUGAGUCUCUAAGCAAAUCUGGAGGGACUCUGGGAGCUGAAGAUUCAGAAUAUCUCCACUUAUUCUUGCCAUAGCCUUUGCUGCUCAACUGUUGGGUGCCAUGAUGGGACAGGAAUCAGAUGGGCAUAGGGCAUCUGGUCCAUGAUCAUCCUUUGUUCGUGCUGAUCUCUGAUGAAAUAUCUGAAGAAGAAGGAGAACACCAUGUGAAGCUGGAGGCAGAGAUUGGAGUGACACGCCUACAAACUGAGGGGCACCAAAGACCACCAGCAACCACCAGAAGCUGGAAGAGGCAUGGCACAGAUGACCACAAGAGCCUCCAGAAGGAACCAACCAUGCUGACGCCUUGAUUUUGGACUUCCAGCCUCUCAAAUUGUGAGCAAAUAAAUUUUUGUUGUUUUAAGCUACCCAGUUGUGGUACACUGUUAUGGUAGCCUGAUAUAGUUUGGCUGUGUCCCCAUGCAAAUCUCAUCUUGAAUUGUAGCUCCCAUAAUUCCCACAUGUUAUGAGAGGGAUCCGGUGGGAGGUAAUUGAAGCAUGGAGAAAGGUCUUUCCCAUGCUGUUCUCAUGAUAGCGAACACAUCUCAUGAGAUCUGAUGGUUUUAUAAAUGGGAGUUUCCCUGUACAUGCUCCCUUUGCCUGCCACCAUGUGAGACGUGACUUUGUUCCUCCUUCACCUUCUGCCAUGAUUGUGAGCCCUCCUCAGCCAUGUAGAACUGUGAUUCCAUUAAACCUCUUUCCUUUAUAAAUUA